AACGGGGUAGAGGAAUUGGUCAACUCAUUAGCCUCAUGACCUAAAAGUUGCAGGUUCAAAUCUUGUUCCCGUCU
rnacentral:tRNA from 1 species